ACAAACAGGACAAAUCAUGAACACAACUUAGUUUUGACAAACAAACAACUUUAGCAUCACAACAAUACAUAUAUCAUUUGUGUGCUUCUUAGAAGCAGCCAUGAGAUGUGUAUACAUAGUAGUAGCAGAUAGAUGCAUGAUGCAUGGCACGAUACAAACUAAUUAAAAUUAGCAUCAUGCAUGGUAAUGGGCCCAUUAGGCCCAUCGCUAUACGUAUUGAUUAUGCUUAACAAUAGUUUAUGUAUUGAUCAUCACAAUCAUGUGAUAUAAUCGUACGUCUAAUGGCACACGCGCGCCGCCAGGUCUAGACGAGCGAGAACGGCAGGGGGACGAUGUUGAGGAUCUCGCCGAGGAGGCCGCUGAGGAUCUGGGCGACGAGGGCGAUGAUGCUGCCGAGGCCUCCGAGCCCGCCGGCGCCACUGCUGCCACCGAGGAGCUGCACCGGCGCCGUCAGCGUCCCGGCGACGNNN
rnacentral:lncRNA from 1 species